rnacentral:rRNA from 1 species
CAGUCGCCACGGUAAUACGUAGGUGGCAAGCGUUGUCCGGAAUUAUUGGGCGUAAAGCGCGCGCAGGUGGUUUAAUAAGUCUGAAGUGAAAUGCCGGGGCUCAACCCCGGAGCUGCUUUGGGAACUGUAGAACUGGAGUGUCGGAGGGGUAAGCGGAAUUCCCAGUGUAGAGGUGAAAUUCGUAGAUAUUCGCAAGAACACCAGUGGCGAAGGCGGCUCACUGGCCCGAUACUGACGCUGAGGCACGAAAGCGUGGGGAGCAAACAGGAUUAGAUACCCCAGUAGUCCCUGUCUCUUAUAC